rnacentral:snRNA from 1 species
AGCUUUGUGUAGUGGCAGUAUUGUAGCCAAUGAGGUUUACAAUUAUUAUGAGGGGUGAUUAUUGCUAAUUGAAAACUUUUCCCAAUACUCCACCAUGACAACUUGAAAUAUAGUCAACAUUGGCAUUUUUUUUUUAAAGA